rnacentral:lncRNA from 1 species
UCCCCCCACGGUUGCUGCCACUUGAAGUUUGCAACACCGGCAAGUCUCCCACAUUAUUGUGUCAAUCUGCUUGUAAUUUGUUGUGCUUAAAUUCCCAUGAACCGUUUGGUGCUCAGAAGAGUACUAUUGUGAGAUGUGAACUCAUGAUCUAUGCAAUUGCUUUGCUCUAUUGCUUGCAUGGUUGUUGAAACUUGGUGCUGAUGUACUGUGUUGUGAAAGAUAGAGCGACAAGCUCCAACUUUGAAGUAAAUGGCCACUGUGUUAUUGAGAGUGUAUUUCACAUUGCUUGUCUGACAAUGACAUGUAUAGUACUGUGCACAUAGCUCCAACUUUGGAAUACUUUCUUUUCUUUCUUCACACCAUGUUAUAUAAAUUGUGGGAGAGCUGUACAGUGUAUGUGCAGUUGUGUGUAGAGCUAUAUAACUAGUUUGUUUUGGUAGUGUGGAGUGACUCUUUCUCUUCAUACUUCCUCCGUCCCGAAUUACUUGUUGUAGAAAUUGAUAGAAAUGGAUGUAUCUAGAAUUAAAAAUACGUCUAGACACAUUCAUUUCUAUGACAAGUAAUUCUGGACGGAGGGAGUAUUAGUCAUGACUCGUGGGGAUAGGAGACAUUGGGAAGAAAAUAACCAGCCUGAAGAGGCAAUUAGUUCUUCCUUAGCGUCACCUUUCAUGGAUGGGGCAAAGGAUAAUCAGUUCAUGGUAAGUGUUGUGAUGAUAGUUUUUGUUAUAGUGAUCCACGACGUUGGGAUUUGAGGUCCGACCUUUUGAGGGAUUCAUUAGCUCGUGAUCAAGAAUUUGACCGGUCUUCCCUUGCUAGCACUGGACUUCCUAGGGUUGAUGUAGAAUUUAUGAUCAUGUCUGGUUCUACCUAUAUAUAUAUUUUUAAUCUGUGAUACAUUGGAAUCUCUGUAUGAGAAAUAUAGGGCAAAGAAAAGAGCAUUUGGUACUUUGUCAUGACAAAUGUAUACAACAAAUCACAAGAAAUGGUUGAAUCAAAUAGGGUCAAAUGAUAAUGUUGAACACGAUCACAAUUUUGUUAGAAUUUUUACAGGUUAAGAUUCUACCAAGUAAAGACUCCUAGGAUAAUUUUGAGAGGCUCCAUACAAUGUUGAACAUGAUCCAGUUAAUGAUAGGGUUGUAUGGACUAGAUUGAGACUGAUAAAAAUUGGUCUUGUGGCCAGUGACCACCAACUUUAUCUUAUUACUGACCAUAUAUAGUACAAGGAUUUAGGAUACCAAGAGUACGGAUUACUAUCAGAACAAACUAAACACUUUUGGCCUUCAGCAAAAGGGGAAAGACAUUUAUCUUCAACAAGUACCAUUCCAAUCUUCUACAAACUUCCAAACACAAAGUCGAGAAAAAACAAAACGACGUAGAUGGCUAGAGAAUGCAUUGCAAGUCUAGUGUUCCAUGUUUUUUGCAUUUGAAAAUUGGUUUGUGCAUAAGGAUGGGAGGCAUAAUAAUGCACGUGCAAUUAUCAAGACGACAGAGAACACAAGACUUCAGACAACAAGUCUGUUUGGUUGGUGCCUAAAUUUGCCACAGUUUUUGUGCCAAAUGUGUCAGAAGGUCACAACUUUUGUAGGGAGAAAAUUAUUAGUCACACCUGUGGUAAGACUUGGCAAGAAAUCUUAUGUACGAUAAGCAGGGUAGGGUGCUAAGAAAUUAUGGCACACCACAAGUGAUCCAAUUUAAGAAGCAAACAUUACACCACGAGCGUGCAACAUGCCUAACACGGGUGGGUGGAAGGAAUUCUGCAAGUUAGGAGCUGGUUCAAAUGUGGCCCAACAGAUAAAUUUUGUGAUUAAAAAUAAAUAAAUGUCGAGCAGUUUCCUAGCAAGAGAUCCAAUGUUAAAAAUUUAUAGAGAUCCACAACAUUGCGAUGUGAGGUCUUACUUGUGCAUUGUUCAUAUGAGCAUCUGAAACAACAAGUCACAAACAUGGCAAUUGGUGAAGUCCACCUCAAAAAGGAAAACCACAUCUGGUAUCAUCUAUGGUUUAAGCAUGCAGCAACUAACAUGAUUAGGGGUUUAAAUAUCUGGGGUAGGCUUGUCUCUAGGCCUUAGUAUGAGCAUAGCUUCGGGAGACGCAUUUUCACACGUUGCCAACUCUUUACAUGCUUCCACAUAAGCUUUGGUUUCUUCUCCAUGGUUGAAACUGACAAAAAAGUAUUCAAACAUCCCUGCUUUUGAUAGCAGAAACUUCAUAAACCACAUGUCAUUUGGUAAAUACUUCGGAUGAUCCACCGAGACAUGUUUGAGAUUAGCAAACAGGUCAUCAUAUAUCACUGCAUCAAGAAUAUCUUGGUCGAUGGCAUCAUCAUUAUCAGUUUCAACUUCCGGCCUGACUACCUACACAAGGAAGUCCAAGAUUGUUGUGUCAGUUAAACAACUCAAUCCAUUAAUGGAUGUCUGUUAACCGAGACAUACAAGUUCAAGGGUGCAUCUUAUAUUACCUGAAUUUUGAGUUUUUCAAUGUGAGGACCAAAUCUCAGUGAAGAAAAUAUCGACAUAAUGCUUGGGAAUUUGCCGAAAUUUGCAGUCUGUUGCACAGCCCUCAAGUUCUGGAAUGUCCAUAAAAUCCUUUCCAGCGGAUUUUCCAUAGUCUGGAAAACAUAGAACACAGUUAGAUUAGCAUAUGGUCCUAGUGCAAGUUUACAUCGGGGUGACAUAUAACUCAAAUCAGCUAAGAGUGACUUUGUUAGCAAUGUGUUUUCGUAAUCGAAGAGGGAAACUGUUAGCAAUGUCUGUUUGCUGCAUCUAGAGUGGGUUUCAUGAAUGAAUUCACAUUGCACAGUGCCAUACAAAAAAUGAGAAAGGUGAACAGAUGAUUGCCUAUAUAUCCAGUAUCCACGCACCAAAAGAUUACCAUUAUGACUUAAAAAAUUAAAUAGUUACUUCCAAGCUCUUACCAUUACUAUUUAUACAAGAUGACUGUUGAAUACUUCAUGUAGUAACGCCAUGCUCUUAAUAGGAGUUAAUUGCAAAAAACCACCACAUUUGGGGCUUCGUUUACGGAAAAAUACUUGGUCCCUAAUUAUUUGCAAAAGUCACCAUGUAUCUAGUAAACUUUUUGCAAAUUGCAUUGAUCAGGUGAUUUAGCCUGAUUGAUCACUUUCUGACAAGUGGGGCCGGAUUGUAAAGGGAUGAUUUGGUAAAAAAUUAACAUACACCUCCCUGGAUUUCACAAAGGCACCCUUAUUUAAAAUUUUUUAAAGCAAUCAGCCCCCCUCCCACCCCCGUCCCCUGCCUCCUCCAAGGUGGUGGCUGGCCACCACGGGAUGGCCUCCCUCCUCCCUGGCCUUGCUCGCGGGGCGGCCUCCCUCUUCCCUGGCCGGCGGCUCGCCCCUAGCCACAAGCUCAGGGCCCCGGCAUGAAGUGGCUUCCAAUCCUACGCGUUCACCCGGCCCUGCCGCUGUGCUGUCGGAGCUCCGCCGCCUGGCGAGUGCUCCGCCCAGCGUGCUGCUGCUCGGCACUGCAACUCCCCGCCGGUGUGGCUACUGCUGCUCGCCGCCGCUGGUCCUCGUCGCUGCGGCUGCCACGGGCACGCCGAGCAGGAGGUUGUGGCGCUGUGUCGCGAACACGCCGACCUGCUCGUGAUUCCUGUCCGCCACCGCGACGCGCACCGGGGCGCGCACGCCGCGCUCAACUGCUCGCUCCUGCCCAUCUCCUCCCUGCUCCACCUCCUCCUCGUCUCUGUGUCCGCCCUGCCGGGGCUCAUGCUCCCCGCCACGGCAUCCAAAUGGUCGGCAGGGUUUGGGCGCCGCCGUGUCGGCCGAGCUCGCGCUGCUUCGGCAGUAGCGCUGCUCCACGGGGGGAUGGGUUGAUUGCUUUUAUUUUUCAAAUAUAGGGGUGUAUGUGUUAAUUGUUUGCUGAGUCAGCUCCUUACAACCGGUUCCAUUUAUAUGACAAGUAAUUUCAGACUGAGGGAGCAUUUUGGAGGCUCCUAGGGCUAUGUGCAAAGCCAGAUUCGCCAAACACAACCUUCAUAGUAGUAUUUGUUUUACACAUGAGACCCACCUAUUGUUGGCUUACUAUUUCUUUGAGGAGCUCGCCGCGUAGAGGACCUCUGCAACAUCCAACACCGAGGAGCUCAAAUGUCACGCCUUCGCCUUCGUGGCGGCCAAUGAGUCGCCUGGCUCUGAAGAUCCAAGCGAGGGCCAGCUGAAACCUCUCACUCUGUUCUCUGAGCCUCUCACCAACCCCCUGUUGUAUCUGGAUGAACUAUCAAUCCUAGAUCUGGGCUAUGACGGAGAAGAGCGGUCAGUGCGGGGGCGGCGGUUAGGGCUCUGGGACAAGGGGGAGGUGGAGGGGAAGGGGAAGGGAGGUGGAAGAUGAGUUGCGGGCGAGCUAAAACUUCCUUCGUGCCACGGGUUUCCUAGAUGGAGUGCGUUCCAAAGUGACCUUCGAGGCAACAAAUAUGCAAUCUGGGAGGCCAGAUAUGGAGAGCGCUUCAAAAAUUGUGAUGGCAUGGCACGGGAUGGCGACUCUACUAGAGUUGCUCUCAGCAAUAUCAGUGCUUUGACAAUUAAAUAACGAUGGACAUUUCCUCAAAAAGAAAAAUAAAUAAUGGACAUAGUUUAGAGAUUAACAUCAAUGCAUGUCGCCUCAAAUUAAAAAAAAAUAGAAUUCAACUAUUUGUUCCAUGGACAUUUGACGCAAUGUAGUUUUGUACCUGAUCUGAGUCGGUGUGCAAGUAAAGCUUCUUAACAAUAGAAAUUCGUCGGAAAGUGUUGAUGAAGUUUGGGGUCCCGAAUAGGGGAUCAAUGGAAAUUUGUGCCACCUCCAGCAAUGGGAGAUCCCCCACAAUUCGGCAUCCGUUGUCAAGGGACAUGGUCAACCUGAGGAAACGGAGGUUGGGCGCCUGGAUGGCACAUGUUACGAUAUCAGCCUCAUCGUCGCCGAUCAUGACAUCAUCCAACAAGAGCCUUGUGAGGUGCGGUGCCGAGGAGAUUAUGAGUUGGAGUUGCGCCGCGGCGCCAUGGAAAGGGAGGACCACGAACUCGAGGUAGAGGGUGAAGAGGUUGGGGAAGCCAGCGAAGCCCUGAGGAGCGCGCAACAAGUGGCAAUAGCCACAGAGCUGGAGGUGGGUGAGUGUGCUGCAGGAGUAAAGGGCCGGGCCGACCACGGGCGGGCGGGGCGAGUGGGCGGGCCAGGGCUCGUCGAACUUGAGCUUGAGCAUCUUGACGCGCUUGUGCGCCAGGGCAAGGAGCCAGCGGGCAGGGCGGUGGGAGUGGCGCCUUUGGACAUGGGCGGUGAAGCUGCGGAUGGGCGCGGCGCACGGCCAUAGGCUGCAGGCAGUGAAUUUGUGGACGGGCGCGGCGCACGGCCACAGCAGGAAGCGUGGAUCGCGUGCGGUGGAGGAUCCUCGACUGAACCAAAUGUCGAGGCCGGGGACGGAUUCCCAUCGCCGGUGCCAAGCGGGGGAGAGACAGCAGGUGCCGACCAACUUCUCGAAGGGGAGCCGACGGAGGAUGUCAUCGAGCAUCUCAGGCGGAAGGGACAUCAGGUAGUUUGGGCCGGCCAUCGGCGCCUCCUCCCCCCGCCGUUGACUCGUGGAGGAACCCACGCCCCCCAUCCUCUCCAUUGGGGAUUUGUGGGCUGGUGUGGUGGGAGUGAGGGGUGCUCCAGCCGCGUGCGCUUUUAAUGCGUGUUGCCGCACACAUCCAUUUUUACAAUUAAUGAUGGUAUUUCUACAAAUAUAUUGAGACCUUGAGACAUGAAAGUUAAUUUUGUCGAUAUCAAAAGGAUAUGUUGCUUAUUAUUAAUCUUGGUUGUUUCACAUUGUCAACAACACCAGAUACAUAAUGAUAGUAUUCGGAAAGGUAAAGAAAAGACUUACAAAGCCUGCAUUUGUGGGAUAAAUCCAUCUAUCCGCCAACGAUCAUAAUAAUACCUCUCAAGGAGAAAAAUGAUUCCUUUUCUGCAAUAGCACACACAAUUUCCGGGAAAGAGAUCAAUGCAAGUUUAGAGACAAAACUAUGCAACAUAAAUAAGAUGAAUAAUUGUCCCGGUUUAUUACCUUUUUUACCGACUUCGCAAUGCUACGUCCCUUGCGAGUUGUGGUGGGACCAUGUUGCUCCCUUGUCUUCUCGCCCAUACCUCUUCCAUAGUCUUCCUCAACAACGGUGGCAGUGGUACACCUAUGGUUUGUCGUAGGCCGCGAGAACAAGGGGGUGGCGAGGGGAAGCUGAAUGAAAUAGCUGAUGAUGAAAACAAUGCAUAUUUUGAUCUUCAAAGUGGAUACAAAGGAGUAUGCUUGUAGUAAAUUUUACUAAGUAAUUUUAUAGUUCGAAAUUGUAAUAUGUAAGAAGCAUGAGAACAUGUAUCAAAUUACGUGCAUGAUAACAUUCAAAUCAUCGAAAUGAAACGUAGAUCGGCUGAGAGAGGCCACCAGCAGGAAGCAAGCAGAUGGUGAGAUGGGAUGGGGCAGUGGUGGAGUAUAUUUCACAAACCUUGACCUUGAUUGAUGAUCCACAGGGGAAAUCCUGCUCGUGUGCAAUGGAGUUUGGAUUCAGGAAAGGAUCCAUAGGCGUCGCCGGGGCAGAUCUAAUUGUCAAUGUUUCAUGUGGUGAUUGAGCUGGUUACUUGUCAAUAAUUUCACAAUAACAUGCGCGCGCACGCACCCAUCAAGCUGAAGCAGGAGACAACACCCUAGAGCCCGACAAGGUAGCCACCAACACCGUCGAACGCCCUGCUUAGCCGAGACCACAUGGUAGACACCGGUGUGCUACCAAAGCCGUUGAACCGCAUCAUAAAGAACAAACUAAGCAGUCAGAGUUUUCGCAAGCAAUAUAUUACUGCGUAACCGUGCACUUUCUCCAGAGUUUUCUCAAGCCGCGGCUAAGUUUUCCUUAUAACACUGUAGUACAGUUUUAUUUGAAUGUUGACAAUUUUAGGAAGAUGGUUAUGUUCAUUAAGUUGCUGUUAUAGCCUGCUCAUAACUGAAUGAGAUUAGACAAGAACAUGAAUAAUGCAUUGCGCCAUCUAAUGAGCUUUGCAUUCCCAUUCCAAGUGUCAAGUUGCCUAGUAUUAUGUCAUGUUGUAGGCUUCAGUCACAUAUUCCCCUUUGUUUCUUCUUUCUUUAUCAUGCAAGGUUCUAAAGUGCUUAUUAGUGGCUUAAAAGGGUUCGUCACUGUGAUUUCCCCAUCUUCCUCUUUUGUGACAAAUGCUAAAAGUACUCCCACUGUUCAGUAAUGUUGAUGGUUUUUGCCAUGGUCAUGUGAAUUAAGGAAUAUCCUCAGUUAAUCAUCAUUUCCUUCUCUUAAUCCUAGGUCAUCUAAUCUUUUCUUAAUUCUGGUGUGCUCUUUCCAAGGAAGAGCAUUAACAGGAGAAAUACUUGUUAAUCAGAGCAAUGCCAAAAUGGCAUACACUUGUGGACUCGAUGACAUGGCUAAAACCAUUCUUUUACCUAGAAAAUGUAAAACGACAUACUCUUCUGGACUUGGUGAGAUGGCUAAAACCACCCAUCUUGCCUAGAAACUGUGAAAAGAUAUACGCUUCUCGACUUGAUGAGAUGGCUAUAACCACCCCUAUCUGUGGACUUGGGAGGGAGACUUAUUGUGUGUAGCAGUCAAUCACAUGUUUUUUAACUUGCCUCAGCCUUUAACUCUUCAUAAAUUUUGACAUCAAAACAGACAAAUGGACACAAGAAUACUUCAGUCAGUGUGACAUCAUUAUUGUAGACUUCAUAGAGCUUCAUAAAUCUUGAUGUUUUCAUGCUUACGCUGACAUGACAUAUUCUUGAAGCACAACACUGCAGCAGGCAACUGAACUCAUGAUUCAAAGACUUGCUAAAUGCUAUUCUUAUUUCGCUGAAAGAGUUAUGCGUUUGUGAGUUCUAAACAUGCAUCCUAUUAGUAUCGUUGUCAAUGCUUGGGCUUGUAACACAGAAACUUAUAUGAUUUUACAGGAACCAUAGAAACUUAUCCAUGAGAAAGUUUGUAGCGCAGCUUUCCUGCAUCUUGUGAACAUAAUCAAUGGAUGUCAACUUGUGUAAUUGAAGUAUUGUGGUUUGCAGGUCAAGUUUGGUGUCAUCUUCAAUGACGACCGAUGCGCAAACAUAUUUGAAGCAUUAGUUGGCACCUUACGGGCUGCCAAGAAGAGGAAAGUUGUCACCUACGACGGUGAAAUGCUUCUGCAGGGUGUUCAUGACAAUGUGGACAUAACCAUGUUCCCUCCCCCCACGGUUGCUGCCACUUGAAGUUUGCAACACCGGCAAGUCUCCCACAUUAUUGUGUCGAUCUGCUUGUAGUUUGUUGUGCUUAAAUUCCCAUAAACCGUUUGGUGCUCCCAGAAGAGUACUAUUGUGAGAUGUGAACUCAUGAUCUAUGCAAUGGCUUUGCUCUAUUGCUUGCAUGGUUGUUGAAACUCGGUGCUGAUGUACUGUGUUGUGAAAGAUAGAGCAACAAGCUCCAACUUUGAAGUAAAU